rnacentral:lncRNA from 1 species
GAAAGCUAUUUCGGAAGAAGAAGGAAGAGAGGAGGAUAAAAAAGGCAAAAAUGGCGUUAAACGUCUUAACAUGUGGGCGUGCAUCUUCAGCCACGUCUAUGACCUUCGCUUCCACCAUUAAAGCUUUCGUCAGACCUUCUCUCUCCCUCUCCACCACUCGAUCUGCUUACUCUCCAUCGAAUCUUAACCUCCUUCGUUUCUCCGCUUCUCCUUCAUCGUUUUCGUCGCUCCUUCACUGUAAGCG